rnacentral:tRNA from 1 species
GCCUAGCUGGCUCAGUCAGUAGAGCAUGAGACUCUUGAUCUCAGGGUUGUAAGUUCAAGCCCCAGGGUGGGUG